rnacentral:rRNA from 1 species
UACGGAGGGUGCAAGCGUUAAUCGGAAUUACUUGGCGUAAAGCGCACGCAGGCGGUCUGUCAAGUCGGAUGUGAAAUCCCCGGGCUCAACCUGGGAACUGCAUCCGAAACUGGCAGGCUUGAGUCUCGUAGAGGGGGGUAGAAUUCCAGGUGUAGCGGUGAAAUGCGUAGAGAUCUAGAGGAAUACCGGUGGCGAAGGCGGCCCCCUGGACGAAGACUGACGCUCAGGUGCGAAAGCGUGGGGAGCAAACAGG